GAAAUGCGAUAAGUAGUGUGAAUUGCAGAAUUCAGUGAAUCAUCGAAUCUUUGAACGCACAUUGCGCCUUCCGGCAUUCCGGGAGGCAUGCCUGUCCGAACGUCAUCAAGCCCCUCGCCCGCGUCUGUUGCUUGCAACGGAAGCCUCGGGCGGUUCCUGGCAGAUGGGUUGCACUCGUGCGCCCACCGCCGAAAUCCAUCGGCAGACCCUUCAUGGCUGUGAUUGUGAUAAGAUUUUCUUACAAUCGCCUGUCUGACUGGUGUCUGGCCGCAACAAACCGCAGACCCUCCACGGGGCCGUGCGGCAAAACCAAAUCUUUUGACUUCGGAUCAGGUAGGGAUACCCGCUGAACUUAA
rnacentral:misc_RNA from 1 species